GAUGAACGCUGGCAGCAUGCUUAACACAUGCCAGUCGACCGGAACUUCGGUGUGUGUGGCGGACGGGUGAGUUACGCGUACAGAACUUGCCUCACAGCUAGGGAUAACAUUUGGAAAGGAAUGCUAAUACCGGAUAUUAUGAUUAUAUGGCAUCGUAUAAUUAUGAAAGCGAUCUGCGCUGUGAGAGGGCUUUGCGUCCCAUUAGCUAGUUGGAGAGGUAACAGCUCACCAAGGCGAUGGUGGGUAGCCGGCCUGAGAGGGUGAUCGGCCACACACGGUCGGAGACACAGCCCGUACUCACUCGUGCGGGAGGAGUGGGUAAUGUAUGUCAAAAGACCGAGGGACUGAUGAAGCAAUUCUGUGUGGACAAUGAAGUUUUUCGGAAUGUAGAAUGGUUUCAGUUGGGAAGAAAAAAAUGACGGUACCAACAGAAGAAGCGACGGCUAACUACGUG
rnacentral:rRNA from 1 species